CCCGUGUGACUCUGCCCGAGACCCUGGGGCGGCAAGUUUUGCUGCUGCCGCCGAAGCGCUACAGGGAUGCGCAGCUCCCUGUUGAAAAUCUCUGCUCUAAAUCUCAGCCUAGAGCUCGCCUCGCAGUCGUUUUUGGAAGUUUCAGGCUCAAGAGGUCGAGGUGAUGUGGGGGUCUCGGCGAGCGUCUGUGCAGCAGCAGCAGCCUCGGGCUGCGGGAGUGUUUGUGACUGGCACUUGAAUCCAUGCUGGCCCCUUUUCCUCGGGCUGAGCUGCAAGGAGCUCAGCAGCUGCGGCAUUUAGUUCAAUUACUUCAGAUGAUCUGUAAAUUUUCAAUAAUGGCAAUACAUUCAUUCUGCCAUUUGGAGGAGCCUGUGCCACAGAAUAAUGAUCUGAAGAAAGCUCACUCAUUUGCAAGGAAGAGUCUUCAUUUGGGAAUUAGCACUGAUGCAGCUCAGGGGUGCUUUUUCAAGUCCAGACUCUUUCAGCAGAACUGUUAUUUUCCUAACACAACCUCUGGUACAAGGAUAAAAUUGGGUUUUUGUCAAAGAACAGAGUCCUGUAUCUGAAGAUUAAGAAGGUGCUUGACAUUCAGUGGGAUGAGAAUCUCAGAACUGACUACUGGGGACUCCCAGGCUACAGAUCAGAAACCAUUUUGAUAGGUGUGGGUUGCUUGUCAGAAAUUGUUCCGAAGCUUGAGUGCAAAGGAAGCAGGGUACUAAUGAUGAAUAAGAAUGGAUAUCUUGAGGAUAACAAUGGAUAUGGCAUCUUCAAAAGCAGUGGCAUUCUGGUCCUAGUCCUGUAACUGGAUUUGUUCAAGUGGACCUCAAGAGCCUGGGGGCCUGAUGAAGUCCAUGGGACUCUGGUGACUGCAGGUUCUCACUCUGAAGAUCUGAUUGUAGGCCUGAACCUUAAUUUCUAUUUUGUUUUCCUGUCUGUUUGCUUCUUAAAUUAUGCAAAUUAUCCUUUGAAAUGGUGUUGUCUUUGAGUCUUAUGCACAUCCACUUUAGUAGUGUUUGGACACUGUGUGCUUGGGAUGUUGUCAGACAUUGUUAAAAUAUUGCUGUUCUGUUGUGUGCCUAAACCUCCUGAUUGCUCUGAUUAUUGUGUUACAUUUUUCUAUUUAGUGCCUUUCUACCUAAAAUGGAGAAGAUCAUCACCUGUGUUUUCAAUUGUGGUAUUUCUCUUAAUUCAGAUUUUUAAGUCAGAGUAACUGUUGAAACUGUUCAGGUUAUUUUUAAAGAUGCAAGUAGAUUUGUUUCUUUCUUGCUGGACUCAAAGUAUAAUAUUUUAUUUUGCAAACUUGGUAGCCUAGUAUUACUAAAAGCUUACAAUACGAUGAUACUCUGAUGUAAUAAAAUAAGUAGGAAAUGACCCUUUUA